GCCGCGCGCCAGAGCGCAGCUGCAUGAAGCAGACCGACAGACAGCCGGUGGAUCCGCGCGCGGUGUUUGGUAUGCGGCUGGUUGCGGCCAGUGACGACUCUCUCUCUCUCUCUCUCUCUCUCUCUCUCUCUCUCUCUCUCUCUCUCUCUCUCUCUCUCUCUCUCAGCGCUUCAGUCUGUAUGAGCAACAUCCUCGUCCUACCACGGGCUCGCGUUCUUGAGGAAUUCGUCAUCAAUGAAAGUGAAGGAAGACUAAACGGGAGAGGAGAAACGCCAGAAUGCCGGCGGGUCAGAGGAGACAGACGACUCCUUAAUGGACCCCCUCCGAAUCCUUUCGUGGCCCCAUGAGGUGUUUAAACUCUGGUUUAAAGGUUGCAGAUUCUCGGGCGGCUCUUACUUGGGAGACUGACAGCUGACAGUGGAUAAUCUCCUGACGGUUUACCCUGCAUUCCUGCCUGCUGGAGGAAAUCUCAGGUGAGCACUGUAAAACUGCAGAUUGAGGGUCCCUCUGGAUGGAACAGAUGUUACUUAUUGCAUUCAUUUAAAUUGGGCAGAAUAUUGAUGAUUACAUAUAUAUUAUUAGGAGGAAUUAAUGU